rnacentral:pre_miRNA from 1 species
UAGAGGGGCAGGACUUGGCUCGCUCCGUGAACAGUUCAGUCAAACCGGUGUGUUCACAGUGGCUAAGUUCCGCUCCUCAC